rnacentral:sRNA from 1 species
UAAAAUAUACAUUAAUUAAUUAAUUCUUUAUACGAAAGAAAUAUUAAAACUUGAAAGAAAAGACAUGACAGAUGGAAGAGAAGGGAGAUUACAAUAGUUGCAUGGUUACGCGCAUCACUGGCCGACUGCAAAUAUGUGACGUUUUGCAAAGUUAGUAAAUAGUCUUUUAAUUUACGUAAUUUUAUAUGAUGAAUUUAAAUCAACUCAUGCUUAGUAUUUUAAUAAAACACUGAUAUAUGUUUUCCAAAAAUAACAAAUGAGAACAUUCAUUCAACAGCUACAGAAAUUGAUGUAUUGAUAAGAUCAAUAAAAAUGGAAUAUAAUAGUAAGAUCUUUCUUCAAUGUGAAGAAGACUCGAAAACUAGCUAAGGGAGGGUUUUGACCUCUGAGAGACCCGAAACGGCAAGUCACAGAGUUGAUGGCUCAUGUGGAUCCUCGUGUCGUUCGUUUAGCCAUUAUUAGCGUCAACGUGGAACAUAUCUUCCACGUAAGUUACCCAGUCAAUCUCCACUAGCUAGUGUAUGUAUAUGAGAAUAUGCAAUGUAUAUAGUUUUGCUUAUCUUUAUAAUAAUAUGUGUAAUAAAAUCUACAAGGAAACCAUUUUUUUGUUAUAUUUUGAUUUUGUCUUUUAAUGUUAUUUU